rnacentral:rRNA from 1 species
GACGAACGCUGGCGGCGUGCCUAAUACAUGCAAGUAGAACGCUGAAGGAGGAGCUUGCUUCUCUGGAUGAGUUGCGAACGGGUGAGUAACGCGUAGGUAACCUGCCUGGUAGCGGGGGAUAACUAUUGGAAACGAUAGCUAAUACCGCAUAACAGUAGAUAUCGCAUGAUAUCUACUUGAAAGGUGCAAUUGCAUCACUACCAGAUGGACCUGCGUUGUAUUAGCUAGUUGGUGAGGUAACGGCUCACCAAGGCGACGAUACAUAGCUGACCUGAGAGGGUGAUCGGCCACACUGGGACUGAGACACGGCCCAGACUCCUACGGGAGGCAGCAGUAGGGAAUCUUCGGCAAUGGACGGAAGUCUGACCGAGCAACGCCGCGUGAGUGAAGAAGGUUUUCGGAUCGUAAAGCUCUGUUGUAAGAGAAGAACGAGUGUGAGAGUGGAAAGUUCACACUGUGACGGUAUCUUACCAGAAAGGGACGGCUAACUACGUG